UCCACGCCGUAAACGAUGUCGACUUGGAGGUUGUGCCCUUGAGGCGUGGCUUCCGGAGCUAACGCGUUAAGUCGACCGCCUGGGGAGUACGGCCGCAAGGUUAAAACUCAAAUGAAUUGACGGGGGCCCGCACAAGCGGUGGAGCAUGUGGUUUAAUUCGAUGCAACGCGAAGAACCUUACCUGGUCUUGACAUCCACGGAAGUUUUCAGAGAUGAGAAUGUGCCUUCGGGAACCGUGAGACAGGUGCUGCAUGGCUGUCGUCAGCUCGUGUUGUGAAAUGUUGGGUUAAGUCCCGCAACGAGCGCAACCCUUAUCCUUUGUUGCCAGCGGUCCGGCCGGGAACUCAAAGGAGACUGCCAGUGAUAAACUGGAGGAAGGUGGGGAUGACGUCAAGUCAUCAUGGCCCUUACGACCAGGGCUACACACGUGCUACAAUGGCGCAUACAAAGAGAAGCGACCUCGCGAGAGCAAGCGGACCUCAUAAAGUGCGUCGUAGUCCGGAUUGGAGUCUGCAACUCGACUCCAUGAAGUCGGAAUCGCUAGUAAUCGUGGAUCAGAAUGCCACGGUGAAUACGUUCCCGGGCCUUGUACACACCGCCCGUCACACCAUGGGAGUGGGUUGCAAAAGAAGUAGGUAGCUUAACCUUCGGGAGGGCGCUUACCACUUUGUGAUUCAUGACUGGGGUGAAGUCGUAACAAGGUAACCGUAGGGGAACCUGCGGUUG
rnacentral:rRNA from 1 species